AGUGAACGCUGGCGGUAGGCCUAACACAUGCAAGUCGAACGGCAGCACAGUAAGAGCUUGCUCUUACGGGUGGCGAGUGGCGGACGGGUGAGGAAUACAUCGGAAUCUACUUUUUCGUGGGGGAUAACGUAGGGAAACUUACGCUAAUACCGCAUACGACCUACGGGUGAAAGCAGGGGAUCUUCGGACCUUGCGCGAUUGAAUGAGCCGAUGUCGGAUUAGCUAGUUGGCGGGGUAAAGGCCCACCAAGGCGACGAUCCGUAGCUGGUCUGAGAGGAUGAUCAGCCACACUGGAACUGGGACACGGUCCAGACUCCUACGGGAGGCAGCAGUGGGGAAUAUUGGACAAUGGGCGAAAGCCUGAUCCAGCCAUACCGCGUGGGUGAAGAAGGCCUUCGGGUUGUAAAGCCCUUUUGUUGGGAAAGAAAAGCAGCAGGUUAAUACCCCGCUGUUCUGACGGUACCCAAAGAAUAAGCACCGGCUAACUUCGUG
rnacentral:rRNA from 1 species